rnacentral:rRNA from 1 species
CCUACGGGUGGCAGCAGUGAGGAAUAUUGGUCAAUGGGCGUAAGCCUGAACCAGCCAAGUCGCGUGAAGGAUGAAUGUUCUAUGGAUUGUAACCCUCUUUUAUAAGGGAAUAAAGUGAGGGACGUGUGCCGUUUUGUAUGUACUUUAUGAAUAAGGAUCGGCUAACUCCGUGCCAGCAGCCGCGGUAAUACGGAGGAUCCGAGCGUUAUCCGGAUUUAUUGGGUUUAAAGGGUGCGUAGGUGGCGUUUUAAGUCAGCUGUGAAAGUUUGUGGCUCAACCAUAAAAUUGCCGUUGAUACUGGCAGUCUUGAGUAUGUUUGAGGCAGGCGGAAUGCGUGGUGUAGCGGUGAAAUGCUUAGAUAUCACGCAGAACCCCGAUUGCGAAGGCAGCUUGCUAAGCCACGACUGACGUUGAUGCACGAAAGCGUGGGUAUCAAACAGGAUUAGAUACCCGAGUAGUC